UAGGGAAUUUUGCGCAAUGGACGAAAGUCUGACGCAGCAACGCCGCGUGAAGGAUGAAGGUUCUCGGAUUGUAAACUUCUGUUAAGUGGGAAGAAAAGCCCGCAAGGGUAUGACGGUACCACUUGAGUAAGCACCGGCUAACUACGUGCCAGCAGCCGCGGUAAUACGUAGGGUGCAAGCGUUGUUCGGAAUUACUGGGCGUAAAGAGAGCGUAGGUGGGAUCAUAAGUUAGGAGUUUAAUCUAUGGGCUCAACCCAUAGUCUGCUCUUAAUACUGUGGCUCUAGAGUAUGGGAGAGGGUGAUGGAAUUCCAGGUGUAGCGGUGGAAUGCGUAGAUAUCUGGAAGAACACCAGUAGCGAAGGCGGUCGCCUGGCCCAAUACUGACACUGAGGCUCGAAAGCUAGGGGAGCAAACAGG
rnacentral:rRNA from 1 species